UACAGGGGGGUGCAAACGUUGCUCGGAAUUAUUGGGCGUAAAGCGCACGUAGGCGGUUGCUUAAGUCGGAUGUGAAAGCCCUUGGCUCAACCAAGGAAGUGCAUCCGAAACUGAGCAGCUGGAGUACGAAAGAGGGUCGCGGAAUUCCCGGUGUAGAGGUGAAAUUCGUAGAUAUCGGGAGGAACACCGGUGGCGAAGGCGGCGAGCCUGGGUCGAUACUGACGCUGAGGUGCGAAAGCGUGG
rnacentral:rRNA from 1 species